rnacentral:lncRNA from 1 species
CUAAUGAGUAGCCUUUGGAGAAGGCCAUCAGAAGCCCAGUGGCCAUCUUCCUUCUUCACAGAUUCUAAUGCCAAGCAGCAUGGUUUAUCACCGUGUAAAACAACUCUUGCACAACCAAACAGCAAAAGUGAAUUCACCAUGAGUAUAUGCCAUUGUCCCUUCUUUACAGACCUUCCACCAUGGAUGAGAAGAUAAGAUUAAAACUUCAAUGUGAUUAGCAUGGAGUGAUCAAGCAGCAUAUGUGAAGGAAUGGAUAAUGAAUGAAUAUAAAUAUAUUCAUAUACAUAUAAUAGCAGAACUGUAUGUGAGUUCUGGCUUUACCAUGUAUUAGUAGCAUGGCCCUUGACCAAUCACUAAACCUUUAUAAGC